rnacentral:rRNA from 1 species
UUCCGGUUGAUCCUGCCGGACCCGACCGCUAUCGGGGUGGGGCUAAGCCAUGCGAGUCGAACGCCCGGGGACCGCCGGGCGUGGCGCACGGCUCAGUAACACGUGCCUAACCUACCCUCGGGAGGGGGACAACCCCGGGAAACUGGGGCCAAUCCCCCACAGGGGAAGGGCGCUGGAAGGCCCCUUCCCCGAAAGGGAUCACGGUCGACCUACCGUGGUCCGCCCGAGGAUGGGGGCACGGCCCAUCAUGGUAGUUGGCGGGGUAAUGGCCCGCCAAGCCGAAGACGGGUGGGGGCCGUGAGAGCGGGAGCCCCGAGAUGGGCACUGAGACAAGGGCCCAGGCCCUACGGGGUGCAGCAGGCGCGAAAACUCCGCAAUGCGGGAAACCGUGACGGGGCCACCCCGAGUGCCGCCCGAAGAGGGCGGCUUUUGCCCGGUGCAAAAAGCCGGGCGAAUAAGCGGGGGGCAAGUCUGGUGUCAGCCGCCGCGGUAAAACCAGC